GUAUUGUCCAGGUCAAGCAAAUAUAACUGGCAAGACGAACUUGUUUGGUAUGAGAUAAAACACAACACUUAGGUUGAAUGAAAUAAGGCAUUUAUUAAAUGCCAUAAAUGACAAAUGUUACAUAAUAACAAACAUGACAAAUGUUACAUAAUAACAAACAUGGCAAGUACCUAUUUGUAUCGAAAUAACCAAACUGGGAGGUAAAAACCGCCAGAUUAUGAUAACAUUGUAAUGUAAUUCAAAUAGAUUACAAUCUUAACAAAAGUUAUGUAAGAUGACAAAGUUGAACCAAAAACCAUCUACAUAAAUAUAAUAAAAUGGAUUGCUGAUCAAAAACAAUUGACCAGAAAAAAUAAAUAUUUUCCAAAUCGUGGUCGACUCGCCCAGGAAAAACCAUAGUUUGGAAACCUGUGCCCUUUUAUCUUGUGUCUAGUACCACUUGAUGUAGGGCUCCAUCCUUGGAAAAUAGUUUAAACAUUCUAUACAUUAAAAAGUGUAUAACAUAUGACUAGAUCAUAAGUAUUUAUGACAACAAAUAGAAAAAUAUUUGAAAGAGAUAAUAUAA